CCCGUCUCAAGGCAAACAAACAAAUAAAUAAAUAAAUAAAGACAAUUGAACCUGAUUUUUCCCUUAGAUUCUCCAGAGAAAGAACUUCUAUAUGGAAAGAGGCAGAUUGCUGGAAGGAGUAAAUAAUUCACAGACAACUCAUAAGCCCUGAGCUCUGGUCUGUCUCUGCCAAUUAAAUGCUGUGGAACUUUUGGGUAAGUCAUUUAAAAUAUCUGGGUUUCAGAUGAUUCAGUUACAUAUGAGUGGGUCCAACCCUCGAAUCUUCUCACUUGUCUUAGUGAUGAUGAGCUAAUGAUGUCUGGUGGAGCCUCAUCUGUUGAGAUUUUGGAGGUGUGGGUUAAAGUUGUGUCCCUCAAAGCAUUUCUUCCUCUCAGGCAUACCAGAGGUGAGAUUCACAGACCACAAAGAUAGUAUGAAUUUAAACUGCAAAUGCAGGAGAAAAUGAUUCAUAGUUAGAAUUCUCAGAGUAAUAUUGGUUUUAAAGACAAUGUAACCUAGAGGACAAGAUGAGACCAGAAAGCUCUCUUGUCACACCUCUUUGCCAGUGGGUGGAUGUUAUUCCUAAUCUACCCUUUUACUGAAGUAUAAGCCUUUGAGGGUGCUGAUACUAGAUAACUUACACUCUAGCUUCCUACUAUAGAUUCAAGGCUUUAUCUCCUGUCCUCACAUGGCUGUUAAAAUAGUAGCCCCUCAGUUAUCAAGUCCAGCAACAUUUAUCAGGGCAGUCUGAGCUGCAUUUCUGUUUCAUUUCUGGCUUUGCCCCGAGGGAUUUCUCUUACUUUCUUGCAUGUUCAGUUAUAUAUUUAAAAGCAUGUUUAUUAUAUUUUGUCCAUCAUUUCCAGGUGUUUUUUGAUAGGAGGGUUCUCAGUUAAUUUACUAUAUUGCCAUAAAUGGAAGUCAGCCCUCUAAAUUCUAUGAUUCUGUGACUAUUAACCUCUUUUCUCCCAUUGAGCUAAUUUGGAUAUUUAUCUUAUUUCAUCUUGAUUCAUUGGGUGUUCUGACUCCAUGGUGUGUUGGAAAUAUCCUCAGUUCUCUUGGAGGAAUAUUAAUAAGAAAUUGCAUAAGUGAACCAAAAAAACCUAAAAGCUAAUGGCUGUAACUUUGAUAUUUACAUGUUGGGGCUGACCCUAGCAUGGAGAUAUUCAAUUGUCCUCCCUCUAAUAUUUCAGCCUAUGCCAUGAUACAGACCAUUAAGGUCACUUGUGUUGCUUUACUCGGCAAGUAUAACUUGUGAUAUACUUGUAAUAUUGUGAAAGAUUAAACUUAAAUGGCAAUAUUAAAUGUCAGCAAAAGUUAAAUCAGUGGUGUACUAAAGAGACUCCAGUUCUAUCUAAUGCCUAACAUAGGGAAGGUCUGACUGCCCUUUGGACUGGAUAUGAUCUUGGGUUUCUUAGACAUUGGAGGCUGAGGUACCUUAUCUACUGCCUCACAGUUCUGGAGGCUCUACAGCUGCUAUUAACAUGUCAGUAGGGUUGGUUUCUUCUGAGACCUCUCUCCUGGGCUUGCAGGUGGCCAUCUUCUCCCUGUGUCCCAACGUGGUCUUCCCUCUUUGUGUGUCUGUGCCCUAAUCUUUUUUUCUUAUAAGGAUACCAUUCAGAUUGGAUUAGGAUCCACUCGUAUAACCUCAUUUUACCUUAGUUAUCUAAAGACCCUAUUUCCAAAUACAGUCAUGUUUUGAGGUACUGGGUGGUAGGACUUCAAUAUUUGAAUUUGAGGGGACAAAAUUCACCCUUCAGGAAUGUAAAAGGUGGUCUGCUAAUAGGCCUAUGGAUUAUCAAGUCAUUUUUUUUUUAAAGAUAAGUGAUUGUAUUUCUUUCUAGAGCUAUUACAGUGGUUCAUACUGGCUUAACUUUAUUAUUCUCUUCCAUCAAUUUUCUAAUUUAAUAAAAGUUAAAACCUUCUAUUAUGAAAAAUUUCAAACUCUCACAAAAAUAGAGUAAAUAGUAUAAUGAAUUCAGUGUCCUCACUGCCUAGUAUUAUGGGUUGAAUUGUGUUUCCCAAAAAUUCAUAUGAUGAAGUCCUAACCCCCAGCACCUCAGAAUGUGACUGUAUUUGGAGAUAGGGUCUUCAGAUAAUUAAGGUAAAAUGAGGUCCAUGAGUGGACCUAAUCCAACCUGACUGGUAUUCUUACAAGAAGAGGAGAUUAGGACACAGACACACACAGAGAGAAGAUCAUGUGGGGACAUAAGAAGAUGGCCAUCUACAAGCCGAGGAGAGGGGCCUCAGAAGAAACCAAUGCUGCUAACAUCUUGCUAUCAGUUACCUAGCCCCCAGAACUGUGAGACAGUACAUUCUGUUUUUUAAACCACAGAAGACACGUAUUGCAUGACUAUUUUUUUUAAGUCCAGAAUAGGCAAAUCUGUAGAGAUAGAACAUAGAUAAGUGAUUGCAUAGGGCUUAUAAGUUGGAGGUAAUUGGAAAGUGACUGCCAGUGGGUAUCAGGUUUCAUUUUGGGGUAAUGAAAAUGUUUGAAAAUUGACUGUUGUGAUGGUUGCCCAACUCUAUAAAUAUACUACAAAACAUUGCACUAUACAAAUUAAAUGUGUGCAUUGUAUGAUGUGAAUUAAAUUCCAGUAAGCCUGUUUUUAAAGACUCAAAGAAAAUUAAAGAAUGACUGAAAACUUUCCAAGUUUGAUGAAAAUUAUAAUGCUACAAAUCCAAGAAUCUCAAAAAACCUUAAGCACAAGAAAGGUUAAGAACAUGACCCCACGCCGGGUGCGGUGGCUCAUGCCUGUAAUCCCAGCACUUUGGGAGGCUGAGGCGGGUGAGCCACUUGAGGUCAGAAGUUCGAGACCAGCCUGACCAACAUGGAGAAACCCUGUCUCUACUAAAAAUACAAAAUUAGCCAGGUGUGGUGGCACAUGCCUGUAAUCCCAGCUACUUGGGAGGCUGCCGCAGGAGAAUUGCUUGAACCGGGAGGCAGAGGUUGUGGUGAGCCAAGACUGUGCUAUUGCACUCCAGCCUGGGUGACAGAGCAAGACUCCAACAAAACAAAAACAAAAACAAAAACAAAAAAAGAAACAAAAACAAAAACACAUGACCCCAAAGCGCAACAUCAUCAAAUUGCUUAAAAUUAGUGAUUUGGGUCCUCUGGAAUUAAAAGAAAAGAGAGAGAGAAACUAGUGAUAAGAAGAAAGCAGUCAGAGGGAGUUGGGGAAUGACGUUGUUUACGGAAGGAUGACAACAGAUUUCUUCUCAGAAAAAAUGUAAACCAGAAGACAGUGGUACUACAUUUUUGAAGUUUAAGUGCUGCUUGACUUAUGAUGGGGUUAUGUUCCAAAAAACUCAUCAUAAAUUGAAAAUAUCAUGUCUAAAAUACACUUUCAACUUACAUUUUUGAUUUAUGAUGUGUUUAUCUAGACAUAAUUCCAUCAUUAGUCAAGGAAUGUACUGAAUGUGUUUCACUUUUACACCAUCAUAAAAUUAAAAAGUCGUAAGUCAGGGAAAAUCUGUACUGCAAGAAAAACACUGUUAACCUAGAUAUCUUUGCCUAGUGAAAAUAUCUUUCAGAAAUGAAGAUGAGAUAAAGGCUUUUCAUACCAACAAAAGUGGAAAGAAUUCAUCAUAAGAAGACUUGAGUGAGAAGAAAUGCUAAGAAAGCUCUUCAAGUAGAAGAAAAUGAUACCAGAUGGAAAUCUGGAUCUCCACAAAGGAACAAAAAGUAUUGAGAAUGGGAACUAUCCUAUGUGGGUAAAUAUGAGGGUUUUUAAAAUUAUUUAAAUCUCUUUAAAGUGUUUCUCAGUCUUUUUAAUUUUAUUCUCUGACGAAGCAUUUUUAGACCUUUUUCCCCAACCAAAUUCUCCCCACCUUCUGCAUAAAAUUUUAAUACCACAGAUAUACCAUGUAUUUGUUUAUGUUCUGUGGCCUUUUGGGGAAAUACAAGCCAUUGUAAUAUUGAACAUUUUUUUCAGUCUCCAAGAACUUUAUUUUUAUUUUUUUGCCCCUUGGUGGGUAGGAGUGGGCAAUAUAACCCCAUUGAGAAUGCAGGCUUUAAAGCAGAAUUGGUUGUUUAAAGAGAAAAUGACAAAUUAUUGUGUGUUUUAUGACAUAUGUGGAAGUAAAGUAUAUGGCAACAAUAGCACAAAGCUGAGAGAAGAAGAAUUGAAGUAUGUUCUUAUACUAUUUGUGAAGUGAUGUAAUAUCACUUGAAGGUAGACUGUGAUAACAUAAGAUGUAUAGUAUAAACCCUAAAACAAACACUAAAAUAACACAAGAGGAGGUAUUGCUAAUACAACAACAAAGGGGGUAAAAUUAAAUAAUAAAAAACCUGAAUCCAAAAGAAGGAAUAAAAAGAGUAAAGGGAGCAAAGAACAGAUGGGACAUAGAGAAAAUGAGUAGCUAUAUGGCAGAUUUAAAUCUAACCAUAUCAAUAAUUAUAUUAAAUAUAAAUGGUAUAAAUACCCCAAUUCAAAUGCAGAGAUUGUCAGAUUGGACUAAAGAACAAUACUUUGCCAUAUGCUGCCAACAAGGAACCCACUUUAAGUAUAAGAAACAGCUUAGUUAAAACAAACAAACCACUAUUGCCAUCUAUCAAGAAUCCCUUCAUAUUAUUUUAUUUAUUAAUUUUUUUUAAUUUUUAAUUUUUUUUUUGAGACGGAGUCUUGCUCUGUCACCCAGGCUGGAGUGCAGUGGCAUGAUCUCUGCUCACUGCAACCUUCACCUCCUGGGUUCAAGUGAUUCUUCUGCCUCAGCCUCCUGAGUAACUGGGAUUACAGGCGUGCACCACUGCACCUGGCUAAUUUUUGUACUUUUAGUACAGACGGGGUUUCAACAUGUUGGUCAGGCUGGACUCAAACUCCUGACCUUGAGAUCCGCCCGCUUCGGCCUCCCAAAGUGCUGGGAUUACAGGUGUGAGCCACCAUGCCCAGCCUAUUUAUUUAUUCAUUUUAAGAUAGGGUCCUGCUCUGUUGCCCAGGCUGGAGUGCAGUGGUGCAAUCUCGGCUCACUGCAACCUUUGCCUCCUGGGUUCAAGCAAUUCUCCUACCUCAGCCUCCCGAGUAGCUGGGAUUACAGGAGCGCGCCACCACGCCCGGCUAAUUUUUUGUAUUUUUAGUGGAGAUGAGGCCUUGCCAUGUUGGCCAGGUCGGUUUCAAACUCCUGACCUCAGGUGAUCCAUCUGCCUUGGCCUCCCAAGUGCUGGGAUUACAGGCAUGAGCCACAGCGCCUGGCCUGUUCUUACUUUUAAAUCUUGUACUAUGUACAUCUUUCUGAGCUUCAUCAAGUCCUUUCUGGAAUGAGGCAAGAUUUAUGAGUGAUACUUCAGAUGAAACAUAAUAGAUUUAAACACUUAUUUCAGAAAGGAAUAAAGACUUACGUGUCAAUAUGAAAAAAUGAAGGAAGAUAAAGCAAUAGAUUAAAUCAAAAGAAUGUAGGAGAGAAAACAUAAAAAUAAGAGCAAACACUGAUUUUUUAAAAAACAACACAUCCUAGAACAAAGCCCAAAUUUGGUCUUUAAAAGAGACUGAUAAAAUAGUCAGCUAUCUGGUGAGAUUGGUAAAGAAAAAAAUGGUAAUAUUGAGGUGAGAAAAAGGGAUAUAACUAUAGAUACAACCAAAAUUAAAAGAAGAUAAGAAAAUACUGUGAACAGCUUUAUGGUGAUAAAUUUGGAAACUUAGACAAAAUGGAUAAAUUCUUAGAAAAAUAUGACCUAUAGGGAAACUGUCUCAAAAACAGAAAUAGUAAGACUGACUAGCUCAAUAUAUAUAUAAGGAAAAUAAAUGAAAGUAGUAGUUAAAAUUUUUUACCCAAAUAAAACACCGUGCCCAGAUGAUUUUUACAGGUAAGUUCUAAAAAGCUUUCAAGGAACACAUUGUUCUAAUCUUAGACUUAGUUUUCUAGAGCAUAAUAAAAGAUCAAAUAUUCUCCAACUCAUUCUAUUAGCUUAAUUUAGUCUUGAUGGCAAAAUCAGGCAAGCCCAGCAGAAGAAAAGAAAAAAUCUAAUUGCAACUUUAGCAAAGAUGAAAUUCUAAACCAGUGAUAGAAAAUAGAAUCCAGUCAUAAAUGUAAUAAAAGGUACUGUAUCAUAAUCAAUCUAGAUUUAUUCCAGUAAUGAAAGAAUAGUUUAAUAUUAGUGUGAUGGCUAAUACUGAGUGUCAACUUGAUUGGAUUGAAGGAUACAAAGUAUUGAUCCUGGAUGUGUCUGUGAGGGUGUUGCCAAAGGAGAUUGACAUUUGAGUCAGUGGAGUGGGAAAGGCAGACCCACCCUUGGGUGGGCACAGUCCAAUCAGCUGCCGGCAUGGCUAGAAUAUAAGCAGGCAGAAAAAUGUGAAAAGAGAGAGACUGGCGUAGCCUCCCAGCCUACAUCUUUCUCCCGUGCUGGAUGCUUCCUGCCCUCGAACACUGGACUCCAAAUUCUUCAGUUUUGGAACUCAGACUGGCUCUCCUUGCUCCUUAGCCUGCGGUGGCCUACUGUGGGACCUUGUGAUUGUGUGAGUUAACAAUCCUUGAUAAACUCCCCUUUUAUAUAUACCUAUUCCAUUAGUUCUGUCCCUCUAGAAAACCCUAAUACAAUUAGGAAAGCACAUCUCACACACACACACACACACACACACACACACACACGACUUUAUAAAAUUAAGAGAUGAAAGGGGAAAAAUGAUAUGAUCAUAUUAAUAGAUACAGAAAAAUUAAAUAAUGCUUUUUAAUGAUAAAAAUAUAGAAAACUAAGAAUAUUAAAGAAUAUCCUUGAUCUGAUAAAAGCUAUCUAUUAAAAAGCCACAUAAAACACCAAUCUUUUUUUUUUUCGAUUCAGGAGGUACAUAUGCAAGUUUGUUACAUGAGUAUAUUGUGUGAUGCUGAAGUUGGGCUUCUAUUGAUCCUACCACCCACAUUGUGAAUAUAGUACCCGAUAGGUAGUUUUUCAACCCUUGCUCGUUCCCUCCCUCCCCUCUUUUGGAGUCCCUAGUGUCUGUUGUUCCAAUCUUGCCCAAAACAUCCAUCUUAAUGAACAACCUAAUAAACAUUCUCAUUAAAAGAAAAGUCAAGUUACUUAAACAUUGAAUUGGUCCUAUCCAGUGCAGUUAGACAAGAAAAAUAUUUAAGUCAUAACCUAUGCUUCUAACUAGGACAAAUUAGGUUACAGUGAACUGAAGCUUUCCUACAAAACAACUAGAAAGAUUGUUUUUUGAAAAAACUGAAAGCAUCACAAACUAUCUGAGGCAAACAGACCCUAUCAGCCACGAUCCCUAGAGAAGAACACCACAGUGAGGAAAGCCAACCUCAUGCUGUCUUUUUUCCCUCCAAGUAUUUGCCAGUUGUUGGUCAUGGGAGGCGGGAAGAUGAGAUUCUGGGCAGAAGGCCUAGGCAGAAAGCUGCUGCUAAGAAGAGAGAUGCCUGCUGAAAUGUUGGCAAUCUUAAAGGACUAGAAAGACAGAAAUUGGAGUUUAGGGCUAAUAAGUCUUUGGAAUUUGGAGUGGAAGGGAGCAGAAAUCCUGGUCACAAGGGAGGCACAGCACAUUUUUGCCCAACAAACCGCUCUUUGUCUUUCUAGGGAUUUGUUGACUUUUUGAAUUCUUAAACUGCUUUUGAAGCAAAGCAGAAAACUCCCAAUGGGUAAAGCAGAGUUUUCUUCCUUCUCACAGUGCUGGGGAUGCCAGAGUUGGAAUUCAAGACCCAGGGAGAAGGGCUUCAGUCAGCACUCCAGUACCUCAGCUGGGAAUCCUGGAGGCUAUACCCUAUGUAUGGGGAAAAUGAGAGGUAGAUGGAAACUAAAAAACAAACAAACAAACCAGUCCCUGAUUAGUUGUGACUUUAUCUGCCUACCAGAAAAUAGGACUAGCCCUCUCUGGAAGAUGAUAGCAUUAUCCAGAACCUCAUACACAAAAUUUACCCAGGACACUCAUGAAGAGGAGGAAGAAAAGACAACAUAAACAGACAUACAGGUCACCUACUUAUUGGAGUUAACAGAUGGAUGUUCAAAUCUGUAUUAUUCUUAUAUUCAAGAGAAUGAAUGACAAAGAGUAGAAUUCCACUGGAGAACUAGUUAACCAAGGCUAGAUGGCUUCAUUGAAAGACUUUGUCAAGCAUGAAUAAAGCCACUAUAAAUAUUCUUGCACAAGUCUCUUUGUGAAUACAUUUUUAUUCCUUUAGGUAAACGCCUAGCGGAGGAAUUGCUGGGUCAUACAUAGGGUAGGAGUAUUAUAACCUUAUAAGAAACUGUCAAAUGGUUUCCAAAAUGGUUUCACCCAUUUAUAUUCCCACAGACUUUAUUCAUAAUAACCAAUCCUGAGGGAAAAUCUAUAAUGUUCGUCAAAAGAAGGAAAUCCUGGCUGUGCCUAUAAUCACAGCAUUCUGGGAGGCCAAGGCAGGAGGAUCACUUGAGCCCGGGAGUUCAAGACCAGCCUGUGCAACAUAAAAAUGGUAACUCAUCAAACCUGCAGCAGAAGGCAACUUUUCAACUCUCAGUCAAUUUGAUCAACAUUCAGCAUCCAUCAAAUGAAGGAUUGGGAGUGAUAACCUUAAAAAAUCCUGCUAGGCUGCUGGUUAUUGAUUCUCUGUUCAGCCUGAUGGAUGAAGAUGCAAAGGCAACAAGUGAAAGUGCAAACCUGGCUGCCGGCCUCCUUCAUACCACGUUAGGUUAGGCAGGACUUGUGUCUGAAAAGCACCAUUGUUAGUUUUACCAAAAAUGCACUGCUGUCAUCACGACCAAUCAGAAUGUCACCCUAGCUGGAGAUCUGCUCCUCCUGGCCUUUCCUUGGGAUUUUCAGAAAAGCUCAGAAAACAAUUUACAAUAAAACUUAAUUACUUUUAGCCUGGCUGUUUGCGAUCCACUAUGAUUGGAACUAUUUUGGGGAUGACGUGUGCAAUUUAUGCUAAGAAGAAAACACUAGGUGUGAUAGUAGUAUGAAGGAACUUGUAGGAAGGGUUUAAUUUAUUGUAGAGAUUAAGUUCUUUUUGAGGUCUUUAGAAGCAUUGAUUCAUAUUAAAAUAAUAAAUGUGCUAAUUAUAGUUGAAUCGUUUCAACUCAUUAAGCCAGUACCGCAAGACCUCUCAUUAGCCAUGCGACAUGAGUGGUUAAGAAUGAUUAUGGGUGGUGUCCAAGGACUCCAAUAGUCAAUCAGCUGGUGCACGGCUGGGCUAACCUUGAAUAACAUCACAAAGCAAUAGAUCCUUCUGGCAGCGUCCUUCUCCCUAAAUCCCGCCCCCAGCCCCAUAAGUGUUCAAUGCCCUUAGGUUUUCUGCCUCUUAACACCUCUGAGAGGUUUCCCUGGCCAGUUGCCUUAAGAAGGAUCAAGUUAAUGAGCUGUGCUUUAUGACGGCACUUGCACCAUCCUGUUAUAAUAAUUUAUUUAGAUUUCUAUCCCUACUAGACUGUAAAUUCUAGUCAAUAAUUUUUAUUGAAUUAAUGUAUAAAGAAUGCUAUAAAUAACUUAUACUAGUUUAUCUAAUUCAAAGUCAUUAAAAUUUAAUAAACUAGAUUGGAAGUUCCUGGUAGACAGAGUAAGUAUUAUUUAAGUUGCAGCCCUGGGAUAUAAGACAAUAUCUGACACAAAAUGGUCACUUAACAAAUAGUAAAGAAACAAUGGUGAUGGUCUCUUACCUGCAAAGGAGCAAGCUUUAUGGGAGAUUUUUUUUUUUUUUUUUUUUUUAAGAGAUGGAGUCUUGCCGUGCUGCUUAGACUGGACUUGAACUCCUGGGCUCAAGCAAUCUUCCCACCUCAGCCUCCUGAGUAGCUGGGACUCCAGGUGCAUGCCACUGCACCUUUAUGAGAGAAUUCUGACCUUAGAGGGGGUAGACUAUUAGAUGGGCAUCUUUCCAGUUGCCGUGGGGUUGUGGCCUCUCACUGGGAGCUCCAAAAGGGGAAACAGUCGUGUGAGUGACCCCCUUUAACUCAGACCUAGCAGAGCCAUGGCAAACAGCUGGACGACAGUAGUGAGUCUCCUGUCACUGGAAGUGUCCAAGGAAAGUCAGGUUGCAUCAAAGUUGCUGGACCAGGGUCCCUUUUUGAGUGGAUUACAUGAGCUCCGUGGUUCUGUGGAUGGGGCACUUAUUUACUCCUUCAUUCACAGAGUGACAAAAGUGAACUGUCAUUGUCAUCUGUCCAUGGCUCAGCAUUACCAAAGAAGCAAUGAGAACAUUUUCCAACGCAGAGCGUGAAAUGCUUGUUGCAGCUAGCUGGAAUGCUCAAGCACACAAAUCAAUUUCCAUGUUAAUUAGUAUCUGCUGUACACCGUGAAAAUGGAAAGAGCCACAAAACCAAAGUUACAUAACUAACUUCCAGCUGCAGCCUGUGUCACCUGAAAAUCCUUUUAGUAACUUUGUUCUGAGGAUAUCUUGCCUGUCUGAGAAACUGUGAACAAACAGAUUCAGGUAAACAAUAAGAAAAGAUUUUGAAAUCUCUCUUCCUGUAAGAGGAUGUAAUUUGGCUGCAUGUUGUAUAUUUACUUGAGCUGAUUGAAAGAGGAAAAAAGAAACUCAUCUGGUACCAUGCAAAUCAGCUCAUGAAACAUCCAGAGGGUGUGAUAUUUUUACAAAACAGUCCAGCCAGUUUACACUGUUGAUUUAGGAAAAAAUACAUUCUUUCACCUUCAUUCUAAGUUAAAGGUUUGUUUUGAAAAUGGAAGGAAACUCAUGCUUCACUCAUGCUCCUGUCCAGCAUUGACAUGGAGGCAGUGGAAAAAAGAAAGAAAGGAAGAGGUGAUGAAGGUACCUUUAAAGAUGUGAUGCUGAUCAUGAGGGCGCCGCGGGGAAGAGAGUCUGCUUCCCUCUGUCUCAACCCUCUCUCAGCUUCUUACCACUUCAUCCUCUGCCAGUAGGGACAACAUCUUCCCCAAAACCUUUUUAAGUAGGAGGUUUGAGCAAAGGAUAACUUAGGCACACAUCUGGAGGACUGUGGGGAGUGGUGUGUGUGUGCACUGAGAAUAACCACGUAAACUCUAAGGAUUUUCCAAGUUCUAACAUUUUUAUUUCAUCAGAGAGAGAAGAUUUUCUUAAACGACUGUGAGGACACCAUAGAGGUAUGAGAUAUGGUUUGGCUGUGUCCCCACCCAAAUCUCAUCUUGAUUUAAUUCCCACAUGUUGUGGGAGGGACCCAGUGGGAGAUAAUUGAAUCAUGAGGGCUGCUUCCCGUAUACUGUUCUUGUGGUAGUGAAUAAGUCUCACAGGAUCUGAUGGUUUUAUAAGUGGUUUCUGCUUUGGCUUGGCUCUCAUUCUUUCUCGUCCAUUACCACGUAAGACAUGCCUUUCACCUUCUGCCAUGAUUGUGAGACCUUCCCAGCCACGUGAAACUGCGAGUCCAUUAAACUUCUUUUUUCUUUAUAAAUUACCCAGUCUUGAAAAUGUCUUUAUCAGCAGUAUGAAAACGGACUAAUACAGAAGGCGGGAGGAGGUGACAGGUGUGCACUCCUGUGCUGGACAGGGGGAGAAAUAUGUGCAUGUGGAUGAGAGUGAGUAAGCAUGAAGGAAAACAAAAUAACAAAGAGAAAUGCGUGAUGAUGGUUGGGGAACUUGUGGAGACUGAGAAGAUAAAGGAGAGGACUGGAUGUACAGUUAACCAUUGGACAUCUCUGGGGUUAGGGGCACUGAUCUCCUUGCAGUGGAAAGUCCAUGUAUAACCUUUGACUCUCCCAAACUUAACUAUUAAUAGCCUACUGUCGACCAAAACCUUACUGAAAACAUAAGCAGUUGAUUAAAAACAUAUCUGGGGCUGAGCAUAGUGGCUCACGCCUGUAAUCCCAGCACUUUGGGAGGCCAAGGCGGGCCGAUCACCUGAGGUCAGGAAUUUGAGACCAGCCUGACCAAUAUGACGAUACCCCCAUCUCUACUAAAACUACAAAAAUUAGCCAGGCGUGGUGGCAUGCGCCUGUAAUCCCAGCUACUUGGGAGGCCGAGGCAGGACAAUCACUUGAACCUGGGAGAUGGAGGUUGCAGUGAGCCGAGAUUGCACCAUUGCACUCCAGCCUGGGCAACAAGAGUGAGAAAACAAAACAAAACAAAACAAAAACCAUAUUUGGUAUAUGUAUUAUAUACUGUAUCCUUAUAAUAAAGUAAGCUAGAGAAAAGAAAAUUUUAUUUAAAAAUCAUCAGGAAGAGAAAAUAUAUUUCCUAUUAAGUGGAAGUGGAUUACCAUAAAGGUCUUCAUUCUCAUCAUCUUCAUGUUGAGUAUGCUGAGGAGGAGGAGGAGGAAGAGGAAGAGGAGGGGUUGGUCUUGCUGUCUCAGGGGUGCCAGAGGCAGAAGAAAAUCUGCAUAUAAGUAACGUGUGUUGUUUAAGACUCAACUGUCCAUAGGAAGAACUUUCAUAUUUGGAAUUGUCUCACUUGAUUACGGAGAUUGAGAAGUCCCAUGAUCUGCCACCUGCAAGCUGGAGAAGCAGGGGAGUGGGUGGAUAAUUCAGCCCAAGUCCAGAGACCAGGGCAGGGGCACUGAGGGCAGGAGAAGAUCUAUGCCCUGGUACUCAGGCUGGAAGGAAAAGGGGUGAAUUCCUCUUUCCUCCAUCUUUUUGUUCUAUCCAGGCUCUCAAGGGAUUGGAUGGUGUCCACUCAUAUGGGGGAGGGCCAUCUCCUUUACUGAGCCCACUAAAUCAAAUGCUAAUCUCAUCUAGAAACACCCUCACAGACAUCCAGAAACAAUGUUUAAUCUGGGCACCCUGUAGUGCAGUCAAGUUGAUAUGUAAAUUUAACCAUCACACCCUCCAACUUGAUUCAGGUCUCUACUCAAAUGUCAUCUCAGACAUUACCUACCAACCCCUAAAAGGGCAACUCCUCUCUCUGCCUGCUCAGUCACAGUCUAGCUCCCUAAUAUGCCUUCUUCAUAACACGUCACUACCCGAUACUAUGUUAUGUGUUGAAUGAUUGUCUGCCUCCUUUACUACAGAGGCAGGUCCAUGAGGCAAAGACUGUUUUGUUAAUAGCUGUCUCCAACACCUAAUGUCCAGUGCAUAAUCAGAGUUCAAUAAAUAUUUGUUGAAUGAAUAUAUAA